rnacentral:rRNA from 1 species
AUAUCAAUAAGCGGAGGAAAAGAAACUAACAAGGAUUCCCCUAGUAACUGCGAGUGAAGCGGGAAAAGCUCAAAUUUAAAAUCUGGCGGUCUUCGGCCGUCCGAGUUGUAAUCUGGAGAAGCGUCUUCCGCGCUGGACCGUGUACAAGUCUCUUGGAACAGAGCGUCRCAGAGGGUGAGAAUCCCGUCUUUGACACGGACUACCAGUGCUAUGUGAUGCGCUCUCGACGAGUCGAGUUGUUUGGGAAUGCAGCUCAAAAUGGGUGGUAAAUUCCAUCUAAAGCUAAAUAUUGGCGAGAGACCGAUAGCGAACAAGUACCGUGAGGGAAAGAUGAAAAGCACUUUGGAAAGAGAGUUAAACAGUACGUGAAAUUGCUGAAAGGGAAACGAUUGAAGUCAGUCGCGUGUGCUAGAACUCAGCCUUGCUUUUGCUUGGUGCAUUUUCUAGUGUACGGGCCAGCAUCAGUUUCGGUCGCCGGAAAAAGGCCUUGGGAAUGUGGCACCUUCGGGUGUGUUAUAGCCCUCGGUUGUAUACGGUGGCUGGGACUGAGGAACAUAGCACGCCUUUACGGCGGGGCUUCGGCCACCUUCGUGCUUUGGAUGCUGGCGUAAUGGCUU